GGAAAAAACUUGAUAAUACUUGUAAAUAGAAAUAUUGAUCAGUAUAUUGAAAUUGUACAAAGUAGCAAACAUCUGUAGGAACUAAAACAAGAAGAAAAUUACAUCAAACAUAGCUUAUUCGCAAUGAUAUGUUCAUUAUUUCUAGCACAAAAUGCAGAGACAGCACCGCCGAGUCCAGACUCUAGAGCUUAAGCAACACCCAAGAGUUUCUUGAUAUCCUUCUCCAUGCUAGCUGGAGAAGUGGUUGGAGAGUAGCGAUCAACGACAUGUCCUUCUUUGUCAAUGAGGAAUUUGGAGAAGUUCCACUUGAUACCAUCUCCAAAGAACCCACCUUUGCUUGAUUUCAGAAACCUAUAUAAUGGAGCAGCAUUAUCACCAUUCACGUCAACCUUGUCAAAUAUGGGGUACUCAGCCUUGAAGCGAGUGCAGACCAUUUGCUGGAUAUCUUCAAUGUUUCCAGGCUCCUGUCCACCAAACUGGUUGCAAGGGAAGGCCAGAAUCUCCAAACCUUGAUCCUUGUACUUCUUGUAUAACUCCGUCAUGUCAGUGUAGUUCGAAUUAGUCAGGCCACACUGUGAUGCAACAUUGACAAUGAUAAGGACUUUUCCCUUGUAAAUACUGAGAUCAACGUCCUUGCCCUUAGCAUCCUUGACAGUGAAAUCAUAAACAGAUUGAGGGUUGCUUGAUUGACUAGCCAUGGUAUGAUCUGAUCUUAAACCCCACAACUCAAAACCCUUAGAGGUAACCAAAGAAUUGGGUAAAACUGUUCGGAUCGGCUUAGAGAAAGACGAAACAGGAAGAUUAAACACAGAAUUGAACUGGGUUUGUCUUAGAAUCGAAGAAAAUCGCCUUAAAAUACUGAGAUUUUGCUUUGGGAUGAGAAGAACGCGAGCUGUAGAACAAAGCAUUU
rnacentral:misc_RNA from 1 species